AUUGAACGCUGGCGGCAGGCCUAACACAUGCAAGUCGAACGAGUGGCGGACGGGUGAGUAAUGUCUGGGAAACUGCCUUAUGGAGGGGGAUAACUACUGCAAACGGUAGCUAAUACCGCAUACCAUCGGAUGUGCCCAGAUGGUAUUAGCUAGUAGGGGGGGUAACGGCUCACCUAGGCGACGAUCCCUAUCUGGUCUGAGGGGAUGACCAGGCACACUGGAACUGAGAGAAGGUCCAGAGUCCUACGGGAGGCAGCAGUGGGGAAUAUUGCACAAUGGGCGCAAGCCUGAUGCAGCCAUGCCGCGUGUAUGAAGAAGGCCUUCGGGUUGUAAAGUACUUUCAGCGGGGAGGCGUUACCCGCAGAAGAAGCACCGGCUAACUCCGUGCCAGCAGCCGCGGUAAUUC
rnacentral:rRNA from 1 species